ACAACCUCAGCAGCAGCAUGUGCAGCAGUGACAGCAGCUUCAGCAGCAGCUGCUGAGGCAAUGGCCACUGUUAAAGCAUGUUUGCUCUGUUCUUCCUCUGCUUCUCUUAGUGUUUUCUCUUUUGAUGGAAGUGGAGCUGUAAUUGAAGGUAAUCUCUUGCUCUUUAGCCUUCCAAAUAUCCAUUUCCUUCUUUUCUCCUUCAGAAAAAAAAAAAUUCCGCCUCAAAAUCCAAGUCAGAAGAAAUAUUGAUAUUAGCCUUUCAGAAACUCACACAAAAACUAAGUUUUUGUGAGUUUUCUUAGACAGACUAAUAUCAAUAAUAUCUCUUGUAGUGUUAAAAAGCAAACUUCAGACUUACCUUAUCUUGUGAGGGAUGUGUGUCCCUUAAGAAGAGCCUCUUCACCAGACUAAACCAGCUCUUCUUCUUGGCCAUUUAACAAUACCACAUGGGUCAGCUUCAAUAUCUGUGAUCUGAAAAAUUGCCCAUAAGCAUACCCUCUUCUACACAAGAUAUCUUGGUAUGUGGUUAUCUAAAUCUAAACCUUUUGAAGAGUGGAUGUGUGAAACGUACGAUUGGUUGGUGGCGAGGCAUUGAUUUAAGUAAUGUAAUUGUACAACUAAAACGUUAGACGUGUCCAAAAAGACGAAACAGUUUGCAGAACUUGUCGUAGAUUUAGAUUCUUAUAUGAAUAAGUAGUGACAGCAAAGUCCAAACACAUGUACACGACUCAGAACCUUGAUUUCUGAGCAAAAUUAAGCAUGAAUGCACACAAACCAAGAUAGUUGGGAUAAUAAAUUAGGAAUGUAAUGCAGAUUUGGAGAGAGAUCCAAGUUAAUUACGUACCCAUUUUCUGGAAUCCCAUAAAAAAUAGUAGAGCCACCGUUUCAGAAAGCUUGGUGCAUGGGAACAAGUGCAUUAAAGUCAGAUGGAAUAGCCUUGGAACCAGCAAACAUUCUUUAUAAUAUCAGUCACCCAAACCAAGAAUGUGGAACUUUGGGAGGGUUUCAUCAGUGAAUGUGCACAAAUUCCAAGACUCUUUCCUCUAGAGGAGCAGAAAUUCCUAUUCCUAGCUAGCACUGAAAACCUCUUGUGGAGUGGAUAUGACUUUUAUGUGGGUGCAGCUGCAAUCAUUCUUAGUUUCCCUCUUCCUCAAUCUUCAUGAUGAGUUUCUCCUGUUCCAAAAUGUGGGGUCUCCAAGAGAAAGUAAUGCUCAAGAUAAAAGCAUAGCCACUUUGUUUUCAUUGGGAGAGCCAAGAGCCAUUCCUCUUGAGCUUUUCAUUUUCUCUCCCAUCUCUCUUUUUUCCAACUGUAGCAGACAUGUUCAUAUGUCUGUUGGGUUUGAAAUGUCAGCACUGCCCCUUAUUCACCCUUGAUAUCAUCACUGAAUAACAAGCAAUAGAGACUACCCUUCAUUUUUGUAUGUGCUAGUCAAUUAGCUGAGGAAUUGUAGGGUCAAUACCUCAUGUGGUAUAUGUAUGACUACAUAUACUAACUUGUUAUAGAAAAAUAGAGAUAGAGAUCUCAAAAUAUAUAUGUAAAGUAACUAUGCAUUCAGAAUCUGUUUCAGUAUAUAAUAUGUGAUUCAUGAUAAGAAGAAAGGAUAGUUAUCUUUUCAAGGAAAAAAUUGAAAUUUUGAAUAAAUAGAUGGAAUUGUAAACUGAUGUAAAUUGUUAAUAUAUUACUUUUCAUAUGUGAUUUAUGAUAAGAAGAAAGGGUAUUUGUUUUUCAUGUAAAAAACUAAAAUUUUAGAUAAAUAGAUGAAAUUGUAGAAUAUAUGACUUCUGAUAUGUAUAUGACAUUUGUAUGGCAUUGCUUUGCAGUAGUUGUGAUGUGUUUGAAUCAUACAAGUUUGGCCUAAACAUAAAUUGAGUUUGGUUUGUGAAUGUAUGUAAAAGGAAAUGUGAAAUAAUCUCACUUGAUUUCUUACAUCCUGAACAGGUAGGCAUGUGUUGAGAGUAGUCACAUCAAGUACAGAGAUAUGAAGGUGUGAAUAUAUGUACUAUCAGCAUUAUUAGAAAUGUAGUAUGACAGUGUUAGAGAAGCAUUGGGAGACAUUGUUGACAUUGUUACAGGUAGGAGUGGGGAAGUGCAUAAUUGAGAAGUGUGGAGAGUGGACACAUAAUGUGCAAAGGGUAGGGAAUGUGGGGAAAAAAACAAAGAAGAUUUGGUUGAUAAGGAGGGAAGACAGCUGUAAAAGGACCCAAAAGGAGGAAUUGUCAUAAUACAUUCUCACCUCAUCUUUUGAAAAUGAGUGAAGUGAAGUGAAGAGAGAGAGGGUUUGGUUUGGUUGUGGGUAGAGAAGCAAAAGGAGAAAGUGUGACACAAGAGUUUACUCAAAAAACAAGUGUUGGGUGGUGAUGAAAAAAGAUGGUUGUCUAGUGAAAAAUAGACUAAUCAAACAGGUUUUGUUAGCCUUGUCUAUCAACAACAACUCUAACGGUGCAGCAUUAAAAUCAGAGGUUUUGGAGACACCACAUUUCAGAAACUAUAGAGAUCAGAACAUGGCGAGGAACAAGCAAUGUUCAAUGAAAACGAAAUAUGAGUACCUAUUUAAUACAGACACGAACACGA
rnacentral:lncRNA from 1 species